rnacentral:tRNA from 1 species
GUCCCUGUAGUACAUUGGAUAGCACGUUGGACCUCUAAUCCAAAGGUCGUGGAUUCGAAUCCCGCCUGGGAUG